rnacentral:rRNA from 1 species
UACGUAGGGUGCGAGCGUUGUCCGGAAUUUAUUUGGGCGUAAAGAGCUCGUAGGCGGUCUGUCGCGUCUGCUGUGAAAGCCCCGGAGCUCAACUCCGGGUCUGCAGUCGAUACGGGGCAGACUUGAGUGUUUGCAGGGGAGACUGGAAUUCCUGGUGUAGCGGUGAAAAUGCGCAGAUAUCAGGAGGAACACCGGUGGCGAAGGCGGGGUCUCUGGGGCAACAACUGACGUGAGGAGCGAAAAGCAUGGGGGGAGCGAAACAGGG